CUUGAACUUCGGUUUGGGUGGCGGACGGGUGAGUAACGCGUAAAGAACUUGCCUCACAGAUAGGGACAACAUUUGGAAACGAAUGCUAAUACCUGAUAUUAUGAUUUUAGGGCAUCCUAGGAUUAUGAAAGCUAUAUGCGCUGUGAGAGAGCUUUGCGUCCCAUUAGCUAGUUGGAGAGGUAACGGCUCACCAAGGCGAUGAUGGGUAGCCGGCCUGAGAGGGUGAUCGGCCACAAGGGGACUGAGACACGGCCCUUACUCCUACGGGAGGCAGCAGUGGGGAAUAUUGGACAAUGGACCAAGAGUCUGAUCCAGCAAUUCUGUGUGCACGAUGAAGUUUUUCGGAAUGUAAAGUGCUUUCAGUUGGGAAGAAAAAAAUGACGGUACCAACAGAAGAAGUGACGGCUAAAUACGUGCCAGCAGCCGCGGUAAUACGUAUGUCACAAGCGUUAUCCGGAUUUAUUGGGCGUAAAGCGCGUCUAGGUGGUUAUGUAAGUCUGAUGUGAAAAUGCAGGGCUCAACUCUGUAUUGCGUUGGAAACUGUGUAACUAGAGUACUGGAGAGGUAAGCGGAACUACAAGUGUAGAGGUGAAAUUCGUAGAUAUUUGUAGGAAUGCCGAUGGGGAAGCCAGCUUACUG
rnacentral:rRNA from 1 species